ensembl:lncRNA novel transcript
AUAUUACUGACAGCAUGUGACAGAGAUAUGGAGCAUUUAGAGAAAAUUAACCACAAGAUACACAGAAAGCCAGACAACUAAAAAAUGAGGUCUGUUGGGAUUACUAUCUUAAUGAAUUUCUGGAUAGCUGGUUCAAGACGGCGUAAUUUCACUUUUUCUUCAUCUUCAGACAUCCUAAAAAAAUGUUGUAUGACCUCCCUGGUAACAGCUGUCUUCUCCACUCAUAUAGAAAAACCUAAAAGAAAAAUAUUUCUUUAAGAAUGUUUUCAAAUCUGUUUCCACUAUUUUUAAAAGCCAACGAUUAGUUUUACAAUUUAUUCUAAAUCAAUAAAUAGA